UACGUAGGGUGCAAGCGUUAUUCGGAAUUACUGGGCGUAAAGCGUGCGCAGGCGGCUUUGCAAGACAGAUGUGAAAGCCCCGGGCUUAACCUGGGAAUGGCAUUUGGGACUGCAAGGCUGGAGUGUGGCAGAGGAGACUGGAAUUCCUGGUGUAGCAGUGAAAUGCGUAGAGAUCGGAAAGAACACCAACGGCGAAAGCACUCUGCUGGGCCGACACUGACACUGAGAGACGAAAGCUAGGGGAGCGAAUGGG
rnacentral:rRNA from 1 species